rnacentral:rRNA from 1 species
UGGGGAAUUUUGCACAAUGGGGGAAACCCUGAUGCAGCGACGCCGCGUGAUUUAGAAGGCCUUCGGGUUGUAAAAAUCUUUUCUAUGGGAAGAAAAUGACAGUACCAUAGGAAUAAGGACCGGCUAAUUACGUGCCAGCAGCCGCGGUAAUACGUAAGGUCCGAGCGUUGUCCGGAAUCAUUGGGCGUAAAGGGUACGUAGGCGGGUAAGCAAGUUAGAAGUGAAAUCCUAUAGCUCAACUAUAGUAAGCUUUUAAAACUGCUCAUCUUGAGGUAUGGAAGGGAAAGAGGAAUUCCUAGUGUAGCAGUGAAAUGCGCAGAUAUUAGGAGGAAUACCGGUGGCGAAGGCGACUUUCUGGCCAUAACCUGACGCUGAGGUACGAAAGCGUGGGUAGCAAACAGG